GGCCGGUCCCUUGCCUCAUAUAAAGUUAAAGAAAAGUCUUUGCUCCCCAGGCCGGUCACGCUUCAAAAAGGAGUCUCGCGUCGGGAACCCCCUUCAGACCGUGGAAGACACGGCAUCCAUGGGAAACCUCCUCUCUGUAACUCUACCCAGCACCAUACACCCAGACCUGCACUCUCCCAUCUGAAGUGGCCAGGACCGGUGUGAAUGACUCAUCUUCAAGACGCUCUUAGAUAUAUGCAGUGUCAACCUCUGAAGAAAUGCACCAUGCUACAGGUCACUGUGCUUCAUUUCGGUCUAUAAAAAGCAUCAAAGUGGAACCAGACAUGCUUGUCAACUGAGCCCUUCAGCCCUGAUUGUACUGUAACCAGGCAGCGAACAGUAUCUUGUGGAUAGGUUGUAUAUCUGUCUGGUAAUGUCUGCUGGCCUCCUCUCUCCAUUAACCACGGCACUUCUGGGAAAGCCAUUAGAGAGUUAAGUGAAUGAUCCCGGCAUAAUCGCACCCGCUUCCUGGUCUGAGGAGUGAAAAUGAUCCUAGAAAUAUACAGACGAAGCUGACAGAGUUGCCAGUUGCUGAGAAUGAGCUCAGCUCUGAGUGCUUUACAAUAGCAAUUUGAGGUUUAGUAUCAGACAUGCAAAGACACACGAGAGCUAAUGCAGAUGAGAAGUCUUGGUGCUUAACAAUACAUAUGUGUGUGUAAAAAAAGUCAUUUUUUGUGUUUUCCACAUAAAAUCAUAAGAACAUAUAUACGCUUGGGAUGUACGUAUAAACACUCCACUUUUUUUAAAUAUGCUAAUUUUCAAGCUCCCUUAGAGUUAAACAUUUGAUUUUUACCAUUUUGGAAUCCAUUCAGCUGGUCUCCGGGUCUGGCGCUAGCACUUUUAGCAUAGCUUAGCAUAAUCCAUUGAAUCUGAUUAGACCAUUAGCAUUGCGCUAAAAAAUAACCAAAGAGUUUCGAUAUUUUUAAUUCAGCCGAUCUCCGGGUCUGGCGCUUCUACUUUUAGCAUAGCUUAGCAUAAUACAUUGAAUCUGAUUAGACCAUUAGCAUUGUGCUAAAAAAUAACCAAAGAGUUUCGAUAUUUUUAAUUCAGCCGAUCUCCGGGUCUGGCGCUAGCACUUUUAGCAUAGCUUAGCAUAAUCCAUUGAAUCCGAUUAGACCAUUAGCAUUGCGCUAAAAAAUAACCAAAGAGUUUCAAUAUUUUUAAUUCAGCUGAUCUCCGGGUCUGGCGCUUCUACUUUUAGCAUAGCUUAGCAUAAUACAUUGAAUCUGAUUAGACCAUUAGCAUUGCGCUAAAAAAUAACCAAAGAGUUUCAAUAUUUUUCUUAUUUAAAACUUGACACUUCUGUAGUUACAUCGUGUACUAAGACCAACGGAAAAUUAAAAGUUGCGAUUUUCUAGGCAGAUAUGGCUAGGAACUAUACUCUCAUUCUGGCGUAAUAAUCAAAGACUUUGCUGCUGUAACAUGGCUGCAGCAGGCGCAAUGAUAUUACACAGUGCCCAAAAAUAGUCCCCGCUAUUGAAAGAUACUAAGAGGACUACUUUCGGCCGCUGCGUAAUAUCAUUGCGUCUCCUGCAGCCAUGUUAUGGCAGCAAAGUCCUUGAUUUUUGUUUUUUGAGCAUGAUGCUAAUGGUCUAAUCAGAUUCAAUGGAU